UGCUUAUGAUGAGUAAAAAAGAUAAGAGUAGUGGACAGGAGUGAUUUCUGAGAACACAUUUCUCUGAGGCA